ACAGCUCAGUGGUAGAGCAUCUGCUUUGCAUGCAGAAGGUCCUAGGUUCAAUCCCCACCAGGUAUG